rnacentral:rRNA from 1 species
UUAAGCGACUAAGCGUACACGGUGGAUGCCCUGGCAGUCAGAGGCGAUGAAGGGCGUGCUAAUCUGCGAUAAGCGCCGGUAAGGUGAUAUGAACCGUUAUAACCGGCGAUACCCGAAUGGGGAAACCCAGUGUGAUUCGUCACACUAUCAUUAACUGAAUCCAUAGGUUAAUGAGGCGAACCGGGGGAACUGAAACAUCUAAGUACCCCGAGGAAAAGAAAUCAACCGAGAUUCCCCCAGUAGCGGCGAGCGAACGGGGAGGAGCCCAGAGCCUGAAUCAGCAUGUGUGUUAGUGGAAGCGUCUGGAAAGGCGCGCGAUACAGGGUGACAGCCCCGUACACAAAAGCGCAUGUGCUGUGAGCUCGAUGAGUAGGGCGGGACACGUGGUAUCCUGUCUGAAUAUGGGGGGACCAUCCUCCAAGGCUAAAUACUCCUGACUGACCGAUAGUGAACCAGUACCGUGAGGGAAAGGCGAAAAGAACCCCGGCGAGGGGAGUGAAAAAGAACCUGAAACCGUGUACGUACAAGCAGUGGGAGCACAGGUUUACCUGUGUGACUGCGUACCUUUUGUAUAAUGGGUCAGCGACUUAUAUUCUGUAGCAAGGUUAACCGUAUAGGGGAGCCGUAGGGAAACCGAGUCUUAACCGGGCGUUAAGUUGCAGGGUAUAGACCCGAAACCCGGUGAUCUAGCCAUGGGCAGGUUGAAGGUUGGGUAACACUAACUGGAGGACCGAACCGACUAAUGUUGAAAAAUUAGCGGAUGACCUGUGGCUGGGGGUGAAAGGCCAAUCAAACCGGGAGAUAGCUGGUUCUCCCCGAAAGCUAUUUAGGUAGCGCCUCGUGAAUUCAUCUCCGGGGGUAGAGCACUGUUUCGGCUAGGGGCAUCCCGGCUUACCAACCCGAUGCAAACUGCGAAUACCGGAGAAUGUUAUCACGGGAGACACACGGCGGGUGCUAACGUCCGUCGUGAAGAGGGAAACAACCCAGACCGCCAGCUAAGGUCCCAAAGUCAUGGUUAAGUGGGAAACGAUGUGGGAAGGCCCAGACAGCCAGGAUGUUGGCUUAGAAGCAGCCAUCAUUUAAAGAAAGCGUAAUAGCUCACUGGUCGAGUCGGCCUGCGCGGAAGAUGUAACGGGGCUAAACCAUGCACCGAAGCUGCGGCAGCGAACGUAUCACUUAAAGCGAUUCAGCGGGUUACGAUUGACGGAGCGAAGCGACGUCAAAGCGUAUACAAAGUCGAGUCGGUUUAAGGAUACGUUCGUUGGGUAGGGGAGCGUUCUGUAAGCCCGUGAAGGUGGCCUGUGAGGGUUGCUGGAGGUAUCAGAAGUGCGAAUGCUGACAUAAGUAACGAUAAAGCGGGUGAAAAGCCCGCUCGCCGGAAGACCAAGGGUUCCUGUCCAACGUUAAUCGGGGCAGGGUGAGUCGACCCCUAAGGCGAGGCCGAAAGGCGUAGUCGAUGGGAAACGGGUUAAUAUUCCCGUACUUGGUGUUACUGCGAAGGGGGGACGGAGAAGGCUAUGUUGGCCGGGCGACGGUUGUCCCGGUUUAAGCGUGUAGGUGUGUGUUCCAGGUAAAUCCGGUUCACUUUAACACUGAGGCGUGACGACGAGGCACUACGGUGCUGAAGCAACAAAUGCCCUGCUUCCAGGAAAAGCCUCUAAGCAUCAGGUAACACGAAAUCGUACCCCAAACCGACACAGGUGGUCAGGUAGAGAAUACCAAGGCGCUUGAGAGAACUCGGGUGAAGGAACUAGGCAAAAUGGUGCCGUAACUUCGGGAGAAGGCACGCUGACACGUAGGUGAAGUGAUUUACUCAUGGAGCUGAAGUCAGUCGAAGAUACCAGCUGGCUGCAACUGUUUAUUAAAAACACAGCACUGUGCAAACACGAAAGUGGACGUAUACGGUGUGACGCCUGCCCGGUGCCGGAAGGUUAAUUGAUGGGGUCAGCGUAAGCGAAGCUCCUGAUCGAAGCCCCGGUAAACGGCGGCCGUAACUAUAACGGUCCUAAGGUAGCGAAAUUCCUUGUCGGGUAAGUUCCGACCUGCACGAAUGGCGUAAUGAUGGCCAGGCUGUCUCCACCCGAGACUCAGUGAAAUUGAACUCGCUGUGAAGAUGCAGUGUACCCGCGGCAAGACGGAAAGACCCCGUGAACCUUUACUAUAGCUUGACACUGAACAUUGAGCCUUGAUGUGUAGGAUAGGUGGGAGGCUUUGAAGUGUGGACGCCAGUCUGCAUGGAGCCGACCUUGAAAUACCACCCUUUAAUGUUUGAUGUUCUAACGUGGACCCGUAAUCCGGGUUGCGGACAGUGUCUGGUGGGUAGUUUGACUGGGGCGGUCUCCUCCUAAAGAGUAACGGAGGAGCACGAAGGUUGGCUAAUCCUGGUCGGACAUCAGGAGGUUAGUGCAAUGGCAUAAGCCAGCUUGACUGCGAGCGUGACGGCGCGAGCAGGUGCGAAAGCAGGUCAUAGUGAUCCGGUGGUUCUGAAUGGAAGGGCCAUCGCUCAACGGAUAAAAGGUACUCCGGGGAUAACAGGCUGAUACCGCCCAAGAGUUCAUAUCGACGGCGGUGUUUGGCACCUCGAUGUCGGCUCAUCACAUCCUGGGGCUGAAGUAGGUCCCAAGGGUAUGGCUGUUCGCCAUUUAAAGUGGUACGCGAGCUGGGUUUAGAAC